rnacentral:rRNA from 1 species
CUUUGAUUCUGGCUCAGGAUGAACGCUAGCUACAGGCUUAACACAUGCAAGUCGAGGGGCAGCGGGAUUGAAGCUUGCUUCAAUUGCCGGCGACCGGCGCACAGGUGAGUAACGCGUAUCCAACCUUCCGUACACUCAGGGAUAGCCUUUCGAAAGAAAGAUUAAUACCUGAUGGUAUGAUGAGAUUGCAUGAUAGCAUCAUUAAAGAUUUAUCGGUGUACGAUGGGGAUGCGUUCCAUUAGGGAGUAGGCGGGGUAACGGCCCACCUAGCCAACGAUGGAUAGGGGUUCUGAGAGGAAGGUCCCCCACAUUGGAACUGAGACACGGUCCAAACUCCUACGGGAGGCAGCAGUGAGGAAUAUUGGUCAAUGGACGAGAGUCUGAACCAGCCAAGUAGCGUGAAGGAUGAAGGUCCUACGGAUUGUAAACUUCUUUUAUAAGGGAAUAAACCCUCCCACGUGUGGGAGCUUGUAUGUACCUUAUGAAUAA